rnacentral:misc_RNA from 1 species
AAAAAAAAAAAACACUCUUUUUAUCAACUAGCAAAGUUGAAAAAGAAAAAAAAUCACGGAUUCUUUCACCCUUUAUCACGGAGAAAACUGGGUAUCAAACAAUUUUCAGCAUUAACUCAAAACAUUCACAAUUUUUUUCAAAAAUUUAGGAAAAGUAACAACAGAGUGAAUAAUUAUUUAUGGGCAAUUUCAAGAUUCCCGUGACGGAAAAAUCCAGAAGAAGUAGA